UCUCGAUAGCGUAAAAGUUAACUCAAAUUUGUAUGGAGAUAAAACGUUUGGCUACGUUUUCCGCUAGGGGCAUUAUAUCAACUGCAUACAAAUUUGAGUUAACUUUUACGCUAUCGA
rnacentral:pre_miRNA from 9 species